CCUACGGGGUGCACCAGUGGGGAAUAUUGUACAAUGGGCGCAAGCCUGAUGCAGCCAUGCCGCGUGUAUGAAGAAGGCCUUCGGGUUGUAAAGUACUUUCAGCGGGGAGGAAGGUGUUGUGGUUAAUAACCACAGCAAUCGACGUUACCCGCAGAAGAAGCACCGGCUAACUCCGUGCCAGCAGCCGCGGUAAUACGGAGGGUGCAAGCGUUAAUCGGAAUUACUGGGCGUAAAGCGCACGCAGGCGGUCUGUCAAGUCGGAUGUGAAAUCCCCGGGCUCAACCUGGGAACUGCAUUCGAAACUGGCAGGCUAGGGUCUUGUAGAGGGGGGUAGAAUUCCAGGUGUAGCGGUGAAAUGCGUAGAGAUCUGGAGGAAAACCGGUGGCGAAGGCGGCCCCCUGGACAAAGACUGACGCUCAGGUGCGAAAGCGUGGGGAGCAAACAGGAUUAGAUACCCUCGUAGUC
rnacentral:rRNA from 1 species